UGCGUAGGCGUUUUGUUAAGUCGAAUCUGAAAGCCCCCAGCUUAACUGGGGAGAGUGAUUCGAAACUGGCAGAAUUGAGUACGGCAGAGGUUAGUGGAAUUCAAUGUGUAGCGGUGGAAUGCGUAGAUAUAUUGAGGAACACCGGUGGCGAAGGCGGCUAACUGGACCGGAACUGACGCUGAGGCACGAAAGCGUGGGGAGCAAACAGGAUUAGAUACCCUGGUAGUCC
rnacentral:rRNA from 1 species